rnacentral:rRNA from 1 species
UGGGGAAUUUUGGACAAUGGGGGAAACCCUGUUCCACCCAUCCCGCGUGUGCGAUGAAGGCCUUCGGGUUGUAAAGCACUUUUGGCAGGAAAGAAACGUCAUGGGUUAAUACCCCGUGAAACUGACGGUACCUGCAGAAUAAGCACCGGCUAACUACGUGCCAGCAGCCGCGGUAAUACGUAGGGUGCAAGCGUUAAUCGGAAUUACUGGGCGUAAAGCGUGCGCAGGCGGUUCGGAAAGAAAGAUGUGAAAUCCCAGAGCUCAACUUUGGAACUGCAUUUUUAACUACCGGGCUAGAGUGUGUCAGAGGGAGGUGGAAUUCCGCGUGUAGCAGUGAAAUGCGUAGAUAUGCGGAGGAACACCGAUGGCGAAGGCAGCCUCCUGGGAUAACACUGACGCUCAUGCACGAAAGCGUGGGGAGCAAACAGG